AGGGUUUGAUCAUGGCUCAGAACGUACGCUGGCGGCACGCCUAACACAUGCAAGUCGAACGAAGUAGCAAUACUUAGUGGCAGACGGGUGAGUAACAUGUAGGUAUCUGCCCUUUGGCCUGGAAUAACACGAGGAAACUUGUGCUAAUACCGGAUAAGUCUUUACGGAGAAAGCUUUAUGCACCAUUGGAUGAGCCUGCACUUGAUUAGUUUGUUGGUGGGGUAAUGGCCUACCAAGACUGUGAUCAAUAGCUGAUUUGAGAGGAUGAUCAGCCACAUUGGGACUGAGACACGGCCCAAACUCCUACGGGAGGCAGCAGUGGGGAAUCUUGCACAAUGGAGGAAACUCUGAUGCAGCGAUGCCGCGUGAGUGAAGAAGGCCCUUGGGUUGUAAAGCUCUUUCGUCGGGGAAGAAAAUGACUGUACCCGAAUAAGAAGGUCCGGCUAACUUCGUGCCAGCAGCCGCGGUAAUACGAAGGGACCUAGCGUAGUUCGGAAUUACUGGGCUUAAAGAGUUCGUAGGUGGUUGAAAAAGUUAGUGGUGAAAUCCCAGAGCUUAACUCUGGAACUGCCAUUAAAACUUUUCAGCUAGAGUAUGAUAGAGGAAAGCAGAAUUUCUAGUGUAGAGGUGAAAUUCGUAGAUAUUAGAAAGAAUACCAAUUGCGAAGGCAGCUUUCUGGAUCAUUACUGACACUGAGGAACGAAAGCAUGGGUAGCGAAGAGGAUUAGAUACCCUCGUAGUCCAUGCCGUAAACGAUGUGUGUUAGACGUUGGAAAUUUAUUUUCAGUGUCGCAGGGAAACCGAUAAACACACCGCCUGGGGAGUACGACCGCAAGGUUAAAACUCAAAUGAAUUGACGGGGACCCGCACAAGUAGUGGAGCAUGUGGUUUAAUUCGAAGAUACGCGCAGAACCUUACCAACACUUGACAUGUUCGUCGCGACUCUAAGAGAUUAGAGUUUUCGGUUCGGCCGGACGAAACACAGGUGCUGCAUGGCUGUCGUCAGCUCGUGUCGUGAGAUGUUGGGUUAAGUCCCGCAACGAGCGCAACCCUUGUCAUUAGUUGCUACAUUUAGUUGGGCACUCUAAUGAGACUGCCGGUGACAAACCGGAGGAAGGUGGGGAUGACGUCAAGUCCUCAUGGCCCUUAUAGGUGGGGCUACACACGUCAUACAAUGGCUGGUACAAAGGGUUGCCAACCCGCGAGGGGGAGCUAAUCCCAUAAAACCAGUCGUAGUCCGGAUCGCAGUCUGCAACUCGACUGCGUGAAGUCGGAAUCGCUAGUAAUCGUGGAUCAGAAUGUCACGGUGAAUACGUUCCCGGGUCUUGUACACACCGCCCGUCAAGCCAUGGAAGCUGGAAGUGCCUGAAGUGCGUAACCGCAAGGAGCGUCCUAGGGUAAAGUCGGUAACUGGGGCUAAGUCAUAACAAGGUAGCCGUA
rnacentral:rRNA from 1 species